rnacentral:tRNA from 4 species
CCCAAUGGUCACGGCGUCUGGCUACGAACCAGAAGAUUCCAGGUUCAAGUCCUGGCGGGGAAG